ACUCCUACGGGAGGCAGCAGUGGGGAAUAUUGCACAAUGGGCGCAAGCCUGAUGCAGCAACGCCGUGUGAGUGAAGAAGGUUUUCGGAUCGUAAAACUCUGUCCUAAGGGAAGAAAAAAUGACGGUACCUUAGGAGGAAGCCCCGGCUAACUACGUGCCAGCAGCCGCGGUAAUACGUAGGGGGCAAGCGUUAUCCGGAAUCACUGGGCGUAAAGGGUGCGUAGGCGGCUUGACAAGCCAGGGGUGAAAGGCAUUGGCUCAACCAAUGUAAGCCUUUGGAACUGUUAAGCUUGAGUGCAGGAGAGGUAAGUGGAAUUCCUAGUGUAGAGGUGAAAUUCGUAGAUAUUAGGAGGAACACCAGUGGCGAAGGCGACUUACUGGACUGUAACUGACGCUGAUGCACGAAAGCGUGGGUAGCGAACAGGA
rnacentral:rRNA from 1 species